AGAAAACAAGUUGGUACUGGGCAUAGUAAAAAUUGGCGGAGUAUAGACACAAAAGGCAAUAGUGGAAGGAGUAGCACUCAGUCUAGGGACAUUGCUGCUGAUGGGUGAGAUAUGUGGUACUGUCAAGGGUAACUGUGGAGCUGUAGGUACCUGUGAAGUGGUAGGUACCUGCGAGGUGGCAAGUACCUAGGGACUGGUAGGUACCUAAGAUUAAGUUGAACAAAAUGCAAAAAUGGCAAAGGAGU
rnacentral:misc_RNA from 1 species